rnacentral:rRNA from 1 species
ACGAUGUGAGUGACAGCAGCCGGGGGAAUACAGGGGGUGGGAGGAGUAAGUGGAAGUACUGGGCUUAAAGGGGUCGUAGGCGGUUAAUUAAAGGAGAUGUGAAAGACCUGGGCUUAACCUAGGAACUGCAUCUUAUACUGGUUGACUAGAGUACUGUAGAGGGUAGUGGAAUUGCCGGUGUAGCGGUGAAAUGCGUAGAGAUCGGAAGGAACACCAGUGGCGAAGGCGGCUACCUGGACAGAUACUGACGCUGAGGCGCGAGAGCGUGGGGAGCAAACAGGAUUAGAUACCCCUGUAGUC